CCUACGGGCGGCUGCAGUGAGGAAUAUUGGUCAAUGGCCGGAAGGCUGAACCAGCCAUGCCGCGUGAAGGUCAGUGCCCUAUGGGCGUUAAACUUCUUUUGUGCGGGAGCAAUAAUGGUCACGUGUGGCCAGACGAGAGUACCGUACGAAUAAGCAUCGGCUAACUCCGUGCCAGCAGCCGCGGUAAUACGGGGGAUGCAAGCGUUAUCCGGGUUUAUUGGGUUUAAAGGGUGCGUAGGCUGUGAGGUAAGUCAGCGGUGAAAUGCCCCCGCUCAACGGGGUGAAGUGCCAUUGAUACUGCCUGGCUGGAAUGCGGAUGCCGUGGGAGGAAUGUGUGGUGUAGCGGUGAAAUGCAUAGAUAUCACACAGAACACCGAUUGCGAAGGCAUCUCACGAAUCCGCGAUUGACGCUGAUGCACGAAAGCGUGGGUAUCAAACAGGAUUAGAUACCCGAGUAGUC
rnacentral:rRNA from 1 species